rnacentral:lncRNA from 1 species
UUUUCAUAAUAAGUUUAGUGACACUAUAAGAAGUCGGUCGACUAUUUGCAUAAUACUAUUAUUAGGUUGCAAAAAACAUAUAAAGAGAUAUAUUGUUUAUCAUGACAAAGAAAGAAUGAAAAUAUCUAAAUGAAGCAAUAGUGAAAGAGAAAAUCGUUUUCUCUCUCUCUUCUCUCUGUUCCCUAUCUUCAUCUUUCACAGAGAAAGAGGAGAGAUGAAACUUGCUCGCCGGUUCCGUUCACCGGCUUAGGUUUCCCGUGGAUCAGGCUCCAGUUCCGACAACGACGUCUUCUACAGAGUCGAUUGGUCGGCUUUUGGCUCCGACGGCGCACCAGCAGGUCCGGUGUAGUCGUUGGCUUCUGGCUCCGAGUCUCACCUUCUCCUCCGGUGAUGACGUCGGGUUUUCUCCGAGGCUUUCCCAGUUUCAGUUUCUUCUUCGCUUCCUUGGUUCUCUUGUUCCAAUCAACUUCCGGUGUCCACAAUCGAUUGCUUCUUCCUCCCUUGGUUAAGGCUGAUGCAUCUUCGGGCUUUCUUCAAUCAUUAAAGGUGUUUGUAGCUACAUGCAGGAAAAGCGAUUGGUUGGAAGCGGUUGAUUUUGAUUGAAAUCUUUAAUUUUGAAGCGUAGAACUCUUGACUCGAUUUUUUGGCGUUUGUGGUGUUUCGACUGCUAGAGUCAUCUCGACGGCUUCUUCUCUUCGACGUCCUGUUUCUGGUGUGUCCGGUGGAUCGGCGGCGAGUUCUUCCGGCGAUGACUCUCCAGUCGUGGUGUCGUUGGUUUGGUCACGUGUCGGAGUGUGUGCGACGGCUCGCUUUGUUUGAGCCUUACGGUGAAAUUCAUUGGUUUGGGUGUGGUUUUAAAUCGUCAAUGGUGUUUCCGGUGGAUUUGGAUGAGAUCUCGGGACUGUCCUCGAUGGAUCUCUCCGUUGGAAUAGUUUGGUGAUGAAGACGGUACGGUGUUUUGUUCAGGUGUGUUCCGGCGAAACUAGUGGCCGUUCUUCAUCUUUUCCGGCUAACCUUGGCGUUUAGGGUACCGAUGUGGUGAUCGGCUGACGCGUGUCUCCGUGAGGCGAGAGCCUCAACACGUGGGCAGGCAAGAGUUUGGCUGGACGUGUGUACAGUUGUGGCACCGUUCAGUUUAUGAGCUUGGGCCAUUGGGUUUGUUUCGGUUUGUCUUUGAUGGGCUUUAGUAUAUUUGUUUUGUCGGGUUUUAUGCUCUUUUGUAAUGGGUUUUCUGGGCUUGACCCAUCAAUAAAAUUAAAUAGAUGGAAAAAAAAAAGAAUGAAAAUAUCUAAACGUGAAAGCGAUAUAUUAUGACUUAGGUAAGGUGGAAAGUGGAACCAAACUUAUUGUGAUGUGAAAACAGAAAUAAAGUAUGGAAGCAU